AGAAAUGAAGAUAAAAGGGGAGAGAGAGAACCGUGGGAGAGGAAGAGAAAAGAGAACGGUUUUGCUGCACUUUGGAGAAAGAAAAAGAGAACUUUUGCUGUAAUUUUUGGAGGAAGAAGAAAGCUAAAAAUUUGUGAGAAAAAUUGGAGCUAUUUUUUGGUAGUUUGUACAAAAAAAUUGGACAGCUUUGUGUUGCCAAAAUUGGGAAGAUUUGUUGCUUGAAAUUGAGCUGAAAAUUUGUUGAUUUUAGAAUAGAAAAUGGCAGCAAAAAGGGUGAGAAAAUGAAGCUUUUGGUGACUGAUUUUGAGAAGUAAGGAAGAGAGGAAGCCACGGUGGUGAAAGGGAGGAAUGGGCUGGAAAAAAAUAAAAAGAGAAGAAACAUGGUAGAGAGAAAAAGAAAGAAAAAAGAAAAGAAAAGAAAUAGAAAAUAAAUGAGCAUGACCCAAUAGAAAAUAAGUGGGCAUGGCCCAAUAUGAAAUAAAAAUAAAUGGACUUGGCCCAAAUAGGAAAAAUGAAAAAGCCCAUGAAGAAGGCCCAAAGGUCAUAAAGAAAUGAAAAAGGGCCAAUGGAAAGUUUGUCGUGGAGGCGUGCCGAACAAAGUAUGUGACCGACAAAUAGGAAUAAUUAUAUACGC